CAGAGUAGAGAUCCGCGCGUUGCGCCCUUGGGUGCUCAGUGUUUUUCGGACGGGGAGUUGCCGAAAAAACGAAAGAACGUUUUCUGCGGUGCGUAUCUCGCAUCCCGCUGU
rnacentral:ncRNA from 1 species